UGGUACACUUUCGGUGGAGGAACUAAACUGGUGCUCGCUGGUCCCACAGAGAAGCCCUCAGUGUCUCUGCUGCCGCCUCUUCUCUGCAGAUCUCUGGAGACUCAGCCGCACUGCUCUGCCUGCUCAGCUCUUACUCUCCACAGGGGGCGCAGGUGAGCUGGACGCUGGACGACUCAGAGGUCACCGAGGGGGUCGUGACCAGCGCAGAGAGCGAGCGGGACGGCCUCUACAGCCGCAGUAGCGUCCUGACCCUCAGCAAAGCACGCUGGGAAAAGGGAGAGAAGUACGUCUGCAGAGUAACACAUGAUGGAGCUUCUCGUGACGUCUCGCGUUCCACAAGAGUCGCUGUUAGUCGCCGCAGUGCUGAUGUUUCUCUCCUGAAGAUGAGCCGUAUCUGA